ACCAAUCUCAUGUUAAUAUGUUGACAACCACCAGGUUUUGCACACUGCUUCCUGGUGAUAUAAUUUUAACUGGAACACUCAGGAUCUGGUGGAUUUGCUAAAACCUUCACAAUUCUUACAGGAAGGAGACGUCGUGGAAUGCGAAAUUGAACAAUUAGGAAAGAUCCGAAACCAGAUUGAAUAGUUGUCAUCCCGCAUUGAUUAGUAUCCAAUACAACAAGAAACUUCAAA